ensembl:lncRNA
GCUUAGACGCCGCAAAAAAACCCGAAAAAAUCGAGUCUGUUUUCCGUGAGAGUUCAAUGGGUUUAUUUAAAAGAAUCGGCUCAAAUGAACGAUUCGUUCGCGAGUCGUACGUCGCUACAGCAGCAGCAGCGGCGGCGGAACACAGCUGGGGGAAGGAGGAGGCCAGGCUGGAGCCCAACGACUCGCUGCGGGGGAAUGGACAGCGUUUGAUCCGGAGAGGGUUUUCUGCAAACC